rnacentral:rRNA from 2 species
CUGGUCUUGACAUCCACAGAAUUCCUUAGAAAUAAGGAAGUGCCUUCGGGAACUGUGAGACAGGUGCUGCAUGGCUGUCGUCAGCUCGUGUUGUGAAAUGUUGGGUUAAGUCCCGCAACGAGCGCAACCCUUAUCCCCUGUUGCCAUCGGUUCGGCCGGGAACUCAGAGGAGACUGCCGGUUAUAAACCGGAGGAAGGUGGGGACGACGUCAAGUCAUCAUGGCCCUUACGACCAGGGCUACACACGUGCUACAAUGGUUUAUACAAAGAGAAGCAAAUCUGUAAAGACAAGCAAACCUCAUAAAGUAAAUCGUAGUCCGGACUGGAGUCUGCAACUCGACUCCACGAAGUCGGAAUCGCUAGUAAUCGUGGAUCAGAAUGCCACGGUGAAUACGUUCCC